UGGGGCGGCAGCUGAGGUGGUGUCCACUGGAGGGGUGGCCCAUGAGACUCAUUCAGGCUGAGCCUGCCUGAACCCCAUGGGCGAAGGCCGAACCAUCAGAUGUAACCCAAUCCAGUCAAGAUAACACAGUUCAGUGUUGACUUUUCCAUUGAAAGUCUUAUAUUGGGGACAUAUUUCAGUCAAAAAGGAUACACUUCAGGGUUCAAAACAUCAAGACAGUGAUUGCAAAAAUGUUCAGAUUGAAACUUCCAAACAAGACUUACUGACCACUCAGUGGCACCACAGCACCUGGGUCCUUCUACAUCUGUGUAAAGACUAUGUGAUAAACUGAAGAAAAAUAUAUGCUCAGCUCCACUUUCACUAGGUGUGGCUAUAUGAUAAAUUGUACAUUAAUAAAAUAUAAGC